rnacentral:rRNA from 1 species
UGGGGGAUAUUGCACAAUGGGCGAAAGCCUGAUGCAGCGACGCCGCGUGGGGGAUGAAGGCCUUCGGGUUGUAAACUUCUUUUGCUCUGAACAAGGCGCACCAUGGGGUGUGUUGAGUGUAGGGGUUGAUUAGCGCCGGCUAACUACGUGCCAGCAGCCGCGGUAAUACGUGGGGCGCGAGCGUUGUCCGGAAUUAUUGGGCGUAAAGGGCUUGUAGGUGGCUGGUUGCGUCUGUCGUGAAAGCUCAUGGCUUAACUGUGGGUUUGCGGUGGGUACGGGCUGGCUUGAGUGCAGUAGGGGAGGCUGGAAUUCCUGGUGUAGCGGUGGAAUGCGCAGAUAUCAGGAGGAAUACCGGUGACGAAGGCGGGUCUCUGGGCUGUUACUGACACUGAGGAGCGAAAGCAUGGGGAGCGAACAGG